rnacentral:rRNA from 1 species
UGGGGAAUAUUGCACAAUGGGCGCAAGCCUGAUGCAGCCAUGCCGCGUGUAUGAAGAAGGCCUUCGGGUUGUAAAGUACUUUCAGUCGGGAGGAAGGUGGUAAGGUUAAUAACCUUAUCAAUUGACGUUACCGACAGAAGAAGCACCGGCUAACUCCGUGCCAGCAGCCGCGGUAAUACGGAGGGUGCAAGCGUUAAUCGGAAUUACUGGGCGUAAAGCGCACGCAGGCGGUUGAUUGAGUCAGAUGUGAAAUCCCCGGGCUUAACCCGGGAAUUGCAUCUGAUACUGGUCAGCUAGAGUCUAGUAGAGGGGGGUAGAAUUCCAUGUGUAGCGGUGAAAUGCGUAGAGAUGUGGAGGAAUACCGGUGGCGAAGGCGGCCCCCUGGACGAAGACUGACGCUCAGGUGCGAAAGCGUGGGGAGCAAACAGG